UCCUACACUGGAUCAUCUGUCCUC
rnacentral:piRNA from 1 species